AUACGUAGGGGGCGAGCGUUGUCCGGAAUGAUUGGGCGUAAAGGGCGCGUAGGCGGCCUGUUAAGUCUGGAGUGAAAGUCCUGUUUUCAAGAUGGGAAUUGCUUUGGAUACUGAUGGGCUUGAGUGCAGGAGAGGUUAUCGGAAUUCCCGGUGUAGCGGUGAAAUGCGUAGAGAUCGGGAGGAACACCAGUGGCGAAGGCGGGUAACUGGACUGCAACUGACGCUGAGGCGCGAAAGUGUGGGGAGCAAACAGGAUUAGAUACCCUGGUAGUCCACACUGUAAACGAUGAAUGCUAGGUGUAAGAGGUAUCGACCCCUUUUGUGCCGGAGUUAACACAAUAAGCAUUCCGCCUGGGGAGUACGGCCGCAAGGUUGAAACUCAAAGGAAUUGACGGG
rnacentral:rRNA from 1 species